rnacentral:rRNA from 1 species
UACGGGGGGGGCAAGCGUUGUUCGGAAUUACUGGGCGUAAAGGGCUCGUAGGCGGCCAACUAAGUCAGACGUGAAAUCCCUCGGCUUAACCGGGGAACUGCGUCUGAUACUGGAUGGCUUGAGGUUGGGAGAGGGAUGCGGAAUUCCAGGUGUAGCGGUGAAAUGCGUAGAUAUCGUAAGGAAGACCAGUGGCGAAGGCGGAUCUCUGGACAGUUACUGACACUGAGGCACGAAGGCCAGGGGAGCAAACGGG